GACGGACCACACGAACGUUAUUCGGAAUUACUGGGCUUAAAGGGUGCGUAGGCUGUGCAGAAAGUUGGGUGUGAAAUCCCUCGGCUUAACCGAGGAAUUGCGCCCAAAACUACUGUGCUUGAGGAAGAUAGAGGUAAGCGGAACUUAGGGUGGAGCGGUGAAAUGCGUUGAUAUCCUAAGGAACACCGGUGGCGAAAGGCGG
rnacentral:rRNA from 1 species